CCAUGCAUGUCUAAGUACACACGAAUUAAAAGUGAAACCGCAAAAGGCUCAUUAUAUCAGUUAUGGUUCAUUAGAUCGUUAACAGUUACUUGGAUAACUGUGGUAAUUCUAGAGCUAAUACAUGCAAUAUAAACACGGACCUUUUGGAACGUGUGCUUUUAUUAGGCUAAAACCAAGCGAUUUUUUCGGAAAUCGUUAUUAUGGUUGAACUCUAGAUAAUUUGCCGAUCGUAUGGUCUUGUACCGACGACAGAUCUUUCAAAUGUCUGCCCUAUCAACUAUUGAUGGUAGUAUCUAGGACUACCAUGGUUGCAACGGGUAACGGGGAAUCAGGGUUCGAUUCCGGAGAGGGAGCCUGAGAAACGGCUACCACAUCUAAGGAAGGCAGCAGGCGCGUAAAUUACCCACUCCCAGUUCGGGGAGGUAGUGACGAAAAAUAACAAUACAGGACUCAUAUCCGAGGCCCUGUAAUUGGAAUGAGUACACUUUAAAUCCUUUAACAAGGACCUAUUGGAGGGCAAGUCUGGUGCCAGCAGCCGCGGUAAUUCCAGCUCCAAUAGCGUAUAUUAAAGUUGUUGCGGUUAAAACGUUCGUAGUUGAAUUUGUGCUUCAUACGGGUAGUACAACUAUAAUUGUGGAUUGUACAUUACCUUAUGUAUGCAAGCGUAUUACCGGUGGAGUUCUAAUAUAUAAUGGUAUUCGUAUUAUUAUGUAUACCUCCUAUUUAAACCUGCUUCAGUGCUCUUCAUCGAGUGUUGUUGUGGGCCGGUACAAUUACUUUGAACAAAUUACAGUGCUUAAAAGCAGGCUCCAAAUGCCUGAAUAUUUUGUGCAUGGAAUAAUGAAAUAAGACCUCUGUUCUACUUUCAUUGGUUUUUAGAUCAAGAGGCAAUGAUUAAUAAAGCAGUUGGGGGCUUAAGUAUUACGACGCGAGAGGUGAAAUUCUUGGACCGUCGUAAGACUAACUUAAGCGAAA
rnacentral:rRNA from 1 species